UAUGAAAAUCCGAAAUGGGCAUUCGGAGCGUUGAAAAACAAUAACGAUCACAGUAAGGUCAAUGGUGGAGAAAGCGAUGUGUUUAUGUUUGGAAGAUAGACACGCGGAUUAUAAAAACGAUGUCGCGAGUGAGGUAGACAGUUAGUCGCUGUUGGACGCCCGAAGUAGACGUGUCAUCGCCACUCGCGCAGAAAGUUGGUUUCUAACGAAAGUUGUGACCAUACUACAAAGAUAAUUUCGGUAAAUGCGGAUGCGGUACCGGAGGAUCCGGUUCGGGCUGAAUGUAGUUAUCUCGAAGGUCGGAUGAAGCGGACUGUGAAGAUAGUUUCCGUAGAUGCGGAUGGUGAACCGGAGGAUCCGGUUCGGGCCGAGUGGGGUCGGCUCGAAAAAAUGUAAGCUGAAUGUGGCCGACCCCUGCGGUAUUUCGGUGAGUGAGAAAAAUGGAUAUCAAAUUUCUAAGGUAACGGGAACAGCGAUUUAUGAUGGUGGG